rnacentral:rRNA from 1 species
AGUGAACGCUGGCGGUAGGCCUAACACAUGCAAGUCGAACGGCAGCACAGUAAGAGCUUGCUCUUACGGGUGGCGAGUGGCGGACGGGUGAGGAAUACAUCGGAAUCUACUUUUUCGGGGGGGAUAACGUAGGGAAACUUACGCUAAUACCGCAUACGACCUACGGUUGAAAGCAGGGGAUCUUCUGACCUUGCGCGAAUGAAUGAGCCGCUGUCGGAUUAGCUAGUUGGCGGGGUAAAGGCCCACCAAGUCGACGAUCGGUAGCUCGUCUGAGAGGAUGAUCGGCCGCACUAGAGCUGAGACACGGUCCAGACUCCUGCGGGAGGCAGCAGUCGGGAAUAUUAGGCAAUAGGCGCGAGUAUUAUCCAAUCAGACGGCGUGGGUGAAGACGGCCUUCGGGUUGUGAAGACCGUUUGUUGGGAGAGAAACGCAGCAGGUUAAUACCACGCUGUUCUGACGGUACCGAAAGAAUAAGCACCGGCUAACUUCGUG